UACGAAGGGGGCUAGCGUUGCUUGGAAUCACUGGGCGUAAAGCGCACGUAGGCGGCUUCUCAAGUCAGGGGUGAAAUCCUGGAGCUCAACUCCAGAACUGCCUUUGAUACUGAGGAGCUCGAGUCCGGGAGAGGUGAGUGGAACUGCGAGUGUAGAGGUGAAAUUCGUAGAUAUUCGCAAGAACACCAGCGGCGAAGGCGGCCCACUGGCCCGGUACUGACGCUGAGGUGCGAAAGCGUGGGGAGCAAACAGG
rnacentral:rRNA from 1 species